rnacentral:rRNA from 1 species
GACGAACCGUGCGAACGUUGUUCGGAUUCACUGGGCAUAAAGGGCGCGUAGGCGGAUGGUCAAGUCGGGGGUGAAAUCUUUCAGCUUAACUGGAAAAGUGCCUCCGAUACUGAUCGUCUCGAGGGAGGUAGGGGCAUGUGGAACUUCCGGUGGAGCGGUGAAAUGCGUAGAUAUCGGAAGGAACGCCGGUGGCGAAAGCGAACGUGCUGGACCUCUUCUGACGCUGAGGCGCGAAAGCUAGGGGAGCAAACGGG